GCGGGUGUAACUCAGCGGUAGAGUGCAUGCUUCCCAAGCAUGACGUCACGGGUUCGAAUCCCGCCACCCGCUCCA
rnacentral:tRNA from 1 species